rnacentral:rRNA from 1 species
AACGCUGGCGGUGUGCUUUAGGCAUGCAAGUCGAACGGUAACAGGUCUAGUUUACUAGAUGCUGACGAGUGGCAAACGGGUGAGUAACACGUAGGAAUCUACCUAAUAGCGGGGGAUAGCUCAACGAAAGUUGAGGUAAUACCGCAUACGCCCUUCGGGGGAAAGCAUUUAUGCACUAUUAGAGGAGCCUGCGCGCUAUCAGUUAGUUGGUGGGAUAAAGGCCUACCAAGACUACGACGGCUAGCCGAUGUGAGAGCAUGAUCGGCCACAAGGUUACUGAGACACGGAACCUACACCUACGGGUGGCAGCAACCGGGAAUAUUGCGCAAUGGACGAAAGUCUGACGCAGCGACACCGCGUGUGGGAAGACGCUUUUCGGAGUGUAAACCACUGUGGCGAGGGAUGAAAUUUUGACAGUACCUCGCUAGAAAGCACCAGCUAACCACGUGCCAGAAGCUUCGGUAAUACGUGGGGUGCGAGCGUUAUCCGGAUUUAUUGGGCGUAAAGGGUCCGUCGGCGUUUUCAUUAGUCUUCUGUUUAAGCCUGGGGCUCAACUCCAGAAAGGCAAGAGAUACUGUGAAAAUAGAGUCUGUUUGAGGAAACUAGAAUUCUUGGUGGAGGGGUGAAAUCCGUAGAUAUCAAGAGGAAUACCGUGCGCGAAGGCAGGUUUCUACAACAUGACUGACGCUCAGGGACGAAAGCUUGGGUAGCAAAAGGGAUUAGAGACCCCUGUAGUCCAAGCCGUAAACGAUCU